GUCUAUGGCCAUGCCACUCUGAAUGUGCCAGACUGUGUCAGAUCUCAGAAGCUGGGUGGGGUUGGGCCUGGUUCGUACUGGGAUAGGACACCACCUAGGAAUACUAGAUGCAUAUGCU
rnacentral:rRNA from 1 species